CCCGCUGAACUUAAGCAUAUCAAUAAGCGGAGGAAAAGAAACUAACAAGGAUUCCCCUAGUAACUGCGAGUGAAGCGGGAAAAGCUCAAAUUUAAAAUCUGGCGGUCUUGCGGCCGUCCGAGUUGUAAUCUGGAGAAGCGUUUAUCCGCGUCGGACCGUGUACAAGUCUUCUGGAAGGGAGCGUCAUAGAGGGUGAGAAUCCCGUCUUUGACACGGACUACCAAUGCUUUGUGAUGCGCUCUCAAAGAGUCGAGUUGUUUGGGAAUGCAGCUCAAAAUGGGUGGUAAAUUCCAUCUAAAGCUAAAUAUAGGCGAGAGACCGAUAGCGAACAAGUACCGUGAGGGAAAGAUGAAAAGCACUUUGGAAAGAGAGUUAAACAGUACGUGAAAUUGCUGAAAGGGAAACGCUUGAAGUCAGUCACGUCUGCCAGGACUCAGCCUUGCUUCUGCUUGGUGUACUUUCUGGUUUGAUGGGCCAACAUCAAUUUUGACCGUUGGAGAAAGGCUUUGGGAAUGUGGCACCUUCGGGUGUGUUAUAGCCCUUUGUUGUAUGCAACGGUUGGGAUUGAGGACUGCAGCACGCCUUUAUGGCCGGGGUUCGCCCACGUACGUGCUUGGGAUGUUGGCAUAAUGGCUUUAAGCGACCCGUCUUGAAACACGG
rnacentral:rRNA from 1 species